UUACGGUGACGGCCACUUCAGCCUGCGCACAUUAGGGGCCCUGUGGGGUCGUGAGGCCGCACACGGUGAACGGCCCUCAGUUUUUAAAAGGGUUGAUUUUUUAAACCUAAAGAAAAACAUCCAGUGCCUCAAGUAGGAGGGAUAAAUGGAGCUCCCAAGAGCGCAGCCCGGGAGAGGGCACGGGGGCCCAGCAAGGGGGCAGCGGGACCCCAGGAGCCCCGGCAAGAGGGCAGCAGGGCUCCCUGGCAGCUCCUCUCGCAGAGAUGAUGGACUUCAGCGCCCUUGGCGGCCUCCCAGAGCUAUAAUAAGGCUGCGCCACAGAACAGGUUAAAAAUAGGGUUCCCCCAGGGCCACCUGGGGUCAGCCUCUGAGCCAGGAAGCCCAGGUCUUGGGUCAGAGGUGACCUCGGGCAGGGCCUGGAGGGCAAGCUCAACCUCCAGUGGGCGCUGCCCUGCCGUCUGGCCUGGCCAUCUGCAAACUAAUGUCCCCGCCUGCUUCGGUGUCCCCAUCUGCAGUGUGGCAGGGAGCACUGGGGUGGCCUAUGGUGAGGACGCCACCUGGCUGUUUUCAGAGGCUGAGUGCGUGGCUGCUUCCCCGCCCUGCUGUCACACGGCGCCAUCUAGUGGCCCUGUCUGGCUCCCCAAGGUAACCUGUGUCCCUAAGUCGUCCCUUUCCAGGCUGGACAGACAGUCCGUGCCCGGGUUCACAUGGCCAUGCUUCCCCCACCACCAGAGGACCCUCCCUCCCUUCAGCACCCCUCCCGGACCGGCCUGGCAGUGCCCUCUGGGUCCCCUUCACACCCAGGCACACUCUGGGACACCCCUCACAGGUCUGCCCCUGCCCCGUGGGCCCUACGCCUAGGAGGGCAGCCGCAGGGCCUCCAGCCUCAGGUACACAGCAGGUGCUCAGUCCCAGGACAGUGGAGGGAAGGACCAGGGUGGGGUGGAGAGGAGAAAUGGGCCGGGUGCGGACCAAAGACGCUGCAGUGUUCAUCAAAGCCAAACACUUAUUGAGCACCUGCUGUGUGCUGGGCCCUGGGGUCCAGCAGCGGAGUGGACAGAAGGCCCGUCCUGAUGGAGAAGGCAGGUAGCCUCGGGUGAGUGCGGCCUGUUUGUUCAGAAUCGCUGUGUGGGGGUGGCGCUGCGCUGGGGAUCCAGGACAGAUGGAGCAGCACCUGCCUGGCAGGUGGGAGGCAGAGGGUGAGGAGCGUGGAGAAGUGGCCACUGGACUUGGCAGUGCAAGGUCACUGACCCGAGGGGACAUUCUGGAUGCCUUCCCUAAAUUCCAUUUGGGUAAAACACUGCAGGGAACCGCUUGCCCCUUGGCCUGCCCCGCCUCCAGAAAGCCCGGGCAGGAGGCCUGCUCUCCACCUGACUUUCAGUUCCCCAGGUGGGGCCAGCUGGAGGCUGGUCACACCAACCUCUGGCUCCAGGGUCAGGGUGACCCAGAACGGGCAGGGCCGUUUCCUCCUCCACCCAGCUGGGGGCAGCUCCGCCCUUGGCCAGCCCGGCGCUGCAGCCCCCGCGUGCGGCCAGGGCCGCCCAAGGAGGAUCAUCAAGAAGGGAAGUGGGGGCCACGGUCACAGCUCAGGGGCAGAGCCCUCGCCGAGCCGCGUAAGGCCGGGUUCACCCCGAAACAGAUGCACGCAGUAGAACACAUCGCGCAUGCGCAAACACGCCUUCCCGCUUCCCGGCAGGGCCCGGCCGCCCCCGGGCAGCGCUAACACGUGCAUCCAGGAGAGGGAGCCAGCGGGGACUUCCCAGCGCACAGGGUGGGCCCUGCAGAACCCGGGGCUGAGGGCAGGACAGGAAGCCAGGUGCAGGCCCCCGUGUGCCUCCAUAGGCAGGAAGUGUCCGGAACAGCAAGUCCCCAGACGGGACGUGGCGACGGGGUGGGGAUCCAGUGGAGCUCACUGCCAAGGGCUGCUGUCCCCCUUCUCUCUCGUGCUGCUGGGCUUGGAGCCCAGGGCCUCGCGGGUGCCACACCCAGCCCUGCCACCGAGCCACACCCAGCCCUUUUUAACUUUUUAUUUGAGACAGUCUCACUGGGUUGCCCAGCGGACCUCAGGCUUGAAUCCUCCUGUCGUUGCUGGGACGAGAAGUUUGGCCACCGGUCCCAGCAAAAACGAUGAGACACGCCUGUCCCUGUGAGCGGGGCCACACUGUCUACCUGUUCCAGUCACGAGACAACCGAUCCGUGGAGUGCCAAGCCCAGGCCACCAAGUGCUGUGUGACUCGGUGCAAAGGCCCUCUCUGGGAGACCCUCACACGGCCAGGAGAGUUUCCCCAAGCAGGGACACAGCUGCAGGCCACCCUGGGCAUACUGACCUCAAAAAGAGUCACACAGGCUUUAAAGAAGGGGACUUUUUGCAUUGUUGUUUCUUCCUAUUUUUCUUCAAGGCUGCGUGACUCACAGGGGACUUCCCCUGGAACAACCCAGCCUGAAGGCAGGCCCCAGCCUUGGGUGCAGGAGUGGACAGAGCCCUGGCUGGGGACUGUCCCAUCUCCACUUAGUCAAGGCUCACCCUCUGCUCUCAGCCACUUCCUCCUUCCAGCAGCUCCCUUCAAUCCCCCAGGGCCCUGUCACACCCCUAAAGGCCAGCACUGCCUGAUCAGUGCCUGUCUCCUGCACACAGCAGGUGCUCAAUAAAUGUUGGCUGGAUAAAGGGAACCAUGACUCAAUAGCUCCCCACUCACUGUCCAGUGAACUAGCCAAGACGGGCUCAGCUCAGCAUCCCCAGUGCCCAGAACAGGCCUGCACACAGCAAGUGCUCAAUAAUGGUUCAUCAAGUGAAUUCACUUACUGAACACUGUGUGCCCUGUGUUCUGGAAAAAGCCUCCGCGAUGGGCUGGGGAUACAGCUCAGUUGGUGGGGAGCUUGCCUUGCAUGCACAGGGCCCUGGGUUCAGUCCCCAGCACCACCACCAAAAAAAGCCUCCAGGACCAAGACAGGUCCAUGACCCUGGUUCCGGAGGCUGAGGAAGGAGGACGUGAGUUCAAGACCUCAGCAACUUAGCAAGACCCUAUCACAAAAUAAAAUAUAAAAAGGUCUGGGGAAAAGAAACAGGGUGGGGGGUGGGGUGUUCCACCCUGCCCUUGGGGCAGCCUGGUAACUAGAAUCGCAAUCAAAGAGCAGACAGGGAGAGGGCUGGAUAGGCUCAUUGGGGGAGCGCUGUUCCAGAUGGCCGGGGUUACAGUCCUCUCCUGCAAAAACCAGAAAAGGGCGAUGACCUGUUGGGAAAUCUGACGCAGGAGAUGCACUGGCAGCUUGCGGUCUCUGGGCCUCUCUCUUGCCCAAGUGGCUGUGUGCUCUUUCUGGGCCUCAGUUUCCCACCUGUAAACUGGGCACAGUGAUGCCGUCUCUGGGCAGGCCCUCAGGUCCUUGCCACGGGUCCUCCGUGUGCUGGGGUCAUGUGGGGACAGGCAGGGGCGAGCAUUCCACACCUGAGGUCGCUGGGUCCAUUUUAUGGCUAGGGAAGAUGAAGCCCCGAAAGGGACCGUGGCUGCUGUGGAUGCCACAGUACCUCGGAGGCAGAGUGGGGUCCAGCUGCCGAGGCCCCAUGGGCUGAUCUGUCAUGGUGACGCUGCCCAGGCAGGAUUCUUGUCCAGCGGCCUUAGGAAUGGGAAAGGGUUUCCCACUUCCUCUGCUGCCAUCUGGACAAGAGCAGUGGCCUCCCCCUGGUCCCCAGCUCCUGCCCUGGACACCCCUAGUCUGUCCUUUCCGAAGCAGCCACUAGAGGGCGCCCGCGAGCACCUGGGUCAGGUCUCGCCCUCCUCUCCUGGUUCCCGCCUCCCUCGGGGUCCAAGCCCGAGUCCUCCCGCAGCGCAGAGGCCC
rnacentral:lncRNA from 1 species